rnacentral:rRNA from 1 species
UACAGAGGUCUCAAGCGUUGUUCGGAUUCAUUGGGCGUAAAGGGUGCGUAGGCGGCGCGGUAAGUCGGAUGUGAAAUCUUGGAGCUUAACUCCGAAACUGCAUUCGAUACUGCCGUGCUUGAGGACUGGAGAGGAGACUGGAAUUUACGGUGUAGCGGUGAAAUGCGUAGAUAUCGUAAGGAAGACCAGUGGCGAAGGCGGGUCUCUGGACAGUUCCUGACGCUGAAGCACGAAGGCCAGGGGAGCAAACGGG